rnacentral:tRNA from 1 species
GGGAAAUUAGGUUAGAAUAAACCAUUAGCCUUCAAAGCUGAAAACUGCUAAAUGUAAUUUCCCG